CAGGCCUAACACAUGCAAGUCGAACGCCCUCGGGCAACCGAGGGAGUGGCGGACGGGUGAGUAACACGUGGGUGAUCUACCAUCAGGUGAGGAAUACCGGCGAGAAAUCGCCGACAAUACCGCAUACGCUUCUCACGAAGCAAAGCUCGCAAGAGCGCCCGAUGAUGAGCCUGCGGUCGAUUAGCUAGUUGGCGAAGUAAUGGUUCACCAAGGCGACGAUCGAUAGCUGGUCUGAGAGGACGAUCAGCCACACUGGGAUUGAGAACGGCCCAGACUCCUACGGGGGGCAGCAGUGAGGAAUUUUCGUCAAUGGGGGCAACCCUGACCGAGCAACGCCGCGUGCAGGAAGAAGGUCUUCGGAUCGUAAACUGCUUUUCUCGGGGAAGAGAACGGACGGUACCCGAGGAAUCAGCCCCGGCUAACUACGUGCCAGCAGCCGCGGUAAUACA
rnacentral:rRNA from 1 species